rnacentral:tRNA from 1 species
UGGGGUGUAGCUCAGUGGUAGAGCACUUGCCUAGCAUGUGUGAGGCCCUGGGUUUGAUCCUCACACCACAU